AGGAAAUACCCGUACCCAUCCCGAACACGGAAGUCAAGCUCAAAUGUGCCGACAAUACUCGAGGGUUCCCCUCCUGGAAGAUAGGUUGUUGCCAGGU
rnacentral:rRNA from 1 species